GAGUGUGUUGUCACGGGGUUGAGAGAAGAGACUUUUUACAGAAGGAGGAAGUUGGUCAGCACUGCGGAAGUCUGCUGAGAUGUCAAGUCAGACAGAAGCCACUGAUGGAGCUGGCUGAUUUGGAGCACCUGCUGUGCGCCAAGCACUGUGCUGAUGGGCAUAGCAUCUAUUAACUCAUUUAAUCCUCAUCCCAAUCCUACAAGGUAGGUGCUGUUAGUAUCAUCUCUACUUUACAGAUUAGAAAGUUCGGUCUCAGAGAGGUUAAGUAUCUUUCUCAAGGUCAUGCAGUUGGUUAGUGGUACAACUGGGGUUCAAACCCAGGCAGGCUGGCUCCAGAAGCCCUGCUCUUAGCCACUCCACUGGCCCACCUCUCAUAAUUUCAGCUCCUAGAAGUGUCCACUGGAUUUGGCUUUCUGGUAGUUGUUGGCAAUCUUCACAAGGGUAAUUUUAGUGGAGAGGUGAGGGUAGAAGUUAGAAAGCAUUGGUUGAUGGAUGAAUGAGAGGGGAGGAAGAGGAAAUGGAGUUUAGAUGGCUCUUUUGAGAAGUUUCCCCAUGAAGGAAUGCAGAGAAAUGGGGCCACAUCUGGAGGAAGAAACUCGUCAAAGGAAAGACUCAUUUUCCUUUCCUUUCCUUUUUCUUCCCUUCCUUUUCCUUCCCUUUCCUUGUUCUAUUUUUUCCCUUCUUUUCCCUGCCUUGUCCAGAAGGAAGAUACUGAACUAGAAUGAGUCUUAAUUAGCGUCGAGUUCCUCCUCCCGCUCCCUACCCGCCCCCCUCUCCGCCCCUGCCCUCCCUUCCCUCCUCUCCCUCCUCCCCGAGGUACAGGCCAAGCGAUCUGACAAAUGCACUUGAGAACAAAGCGCCAGGCUAAUUCGGGGCCUGCUCAGGAAGCAGGAGCUGAGCUGAGAUAAUGGGUCUGAAAUAGCCCAGCAUGAUUAUGCUUCCUCAGCCUGUGGCCAGGCGGGUGCAGGCUCAGGCGGGCAGGCAGGCAGGCAGUCGGCGGGCGGGCGGACGGGCGGGCGCCGGACGCCACUCGCCCAGGGUGGUGAGGGCCAUGCUUCUGCACCCACGCCGGCCCUCCUCUGGCCUUCGCAGGAGCUGCUAUCCCUCAGAGAGUCCGGUAGUCCCCAGUGGGGAUGGUCCAAGGGUCAGCCAGAAUCACACACUCAACCACAGUUACCCGACAGG
rnacentral:lncRNA from 10 species